rnacentral:rRNA from 1 species
UACGGGGGGGGCAAGCGUUGUUCGGAAUUACUGGGCGUAAAGGGCUCGUAGGCGGCCAACUAAGUCAUACGUGAAAUCCCUCAGCUUAACUGGGGAACUGCGUGUGAUACUGGAUGGCUUGGAUUUGGGAGAGGGAUGCGGAAUUCCAGGUGUAGCGGUGAAAUGCGUAGAUAUCAUGAGGAAUACCAGAGGCGAAGGCGGCUCCCUGGACAAUUGCUGACACUCAGGCACGAAAGCGUGGGGAGCAAAAGGG